rnacentral:rRNA from 1 species
GACGAACGCUGGCGGCGUGCUUAACACAUGCAAGUCGAACGGAAAGGCCCUGCUUUUGUGGGGUGCUCGAUUGGCGAACGGGUGAGUAACACGUGAGUAACCUGCCCUUGACUUUGGGAUAACUUCAGGAAACUGGGGCUAAUACCGGAUAUGAGCUCCUGCUGCAUGGUGGGGGUUGGAAAGUUUCGGCGGUUGGGGAUGGACUCGCGGCUUAUCAGCUUGUUGGUGGGGUAGUGGCUUACCAAGGCUUUGACGGCUAGCCGGCCUGAGAGGGUGACCGGCCACAUUGGGACUGAGAUACGGCCCAGACUCCUACGGGAGGCAGCAGUGGGGAAUAUUGCACAAUGGGCGGAAGCCUGAUGCAGAAACGCCGCGUGCGGGAUGACGGCCUUCGGGUUGUAAACCGCUUUCGCCUGUGACGAAGCGUGAGUGACGGUAAUGGGUAAAGAAGCACCGGCUAACUACGUG